GUCUGUGGCCAUGCUACCCUGAACAAGCCCAAUCCCGUCUGAUCUCAGAAGCUAAGCAGAGUCGGGUCUAGUUAGUACUUGGAUGAGAAACCACCUAGGAAGACCAGGUGCUAUAGACG
rnacentral:rRNA from 1 species